rnacentral:misc_RNA from 1 species
GAUGAAGAACGUAGCGAAAUGCGAUAAGUAAUGCGAAUUGCAGAAUUCCAGUGAGUCAUCGAAUCUUUGAACGCACAUUGCGCCCUUUGGUAUUCCGAAGGGCAUGCCUGUUCGAGCGUCAUUAUCACCCCUCAAGCCCUCGGCUUGGUGUUGGACGGUUUGGUGGAGGCCCCCUCGGGGGCUCCUGCCCCCCCCAAAGACAAUGACGGCGGCCUCGUUGGACCCCCGGUACACUGAGUUCUUCACGGGACACGUAUCGGACACAUGGGUUUACGGGACACGGUCUGCCUCCCCUCAGGGAGAAUCUUUCUAAGGUUGACCUCGGAUCAGGUAGGGAUACCCGCUGAACUUAAGCAUAUCAAUAAGCGGAGGA